rnacentral:rRNA from 1 species
AUGAAGAGUGGUCAUGGAUCCAACACCAUUAUAUCUUCAUUACGACUUCAUGAAGAUGCUAAUGUUAUCCAACAUGUAGUCAAAAUAUGUGGCAUCACAUCAUCUAAAGAUGCAGAAAUUGCCGUGGAGGCAGGAGCUAAACUUAUUGGCAUGAUACUUUGGCCUAACUCCAAGCGCUCUAUCGCAUUAUCAGAAGCCAAAGAAAUAUCUAGAGUAGCAGGAUCUUAUGGGGCUAAAUCAGUUGGUGUAUUUGUGGAUGAUGACAAAGAAACAAUAUUAAGAGUGUCUGAUUCAUGUGACCUUAAUUUAGUCUAGCUCCAUGGAGAUAAAUCCCGCACAUUGCUUCAUCUGCUUUCAAAGAAUAAUCGUAUUGUUUAUAUCCUAAAUGUUGAUGAUGAUGGAAAACUUAUUAAUGCUCCUCCUGGUGAAGAAUAUCUGUUUGGUUGGUUCUUAGUGGACAGUGCUAAGGGGGAAGGUGGCAAGGGAUUUAACUGGCAGAAAUUUCGCAUGCCCUCUAAUAGAAGCAAGAAUGGCUGGCUAUUGGCUGGAGGCCUUCACGCAGAUAAAGUUUGUGCAUCAAUGACUGCCCUGAAGCCAAAUCCUCUAUAA